CUCAUUUAUUGCAUUUAAUAAAUUAGUUUACGAGUAAACACGUUAUACAUGUAAAUUACAGAUAUUACGAACGAGCACUGAAAUGUAACCAACGAGCUAUGGCCGGUUUUACAGGUAAAACAGCAAUUAGUUUAAUUACGUGUUCACUAAAUCGUGUUUAUUGCUAGGGAACAUAAAUAGUUUUUUAUUUGAUAUACAGGGCGACACCAAAUCCCAAUGUACGUGUAAAGCCGGUUUUCCACUUCGACCGUAUCGUAGCGAAGCGUAUUUCUUUGUUUCCUGACCACUAGAGUGGAACUAAUGACUUGGAAACAAAAGAAAAUGCUACGUUACGUUACGAUACGGUUGAAGUGGAAAACAGGCUUUACGGUCACCGCUAUUAUAUUUGUCCGACACAAUAUUACGCAUGCGUACAUACAACGUUCAGUCGUUCACACCUUAAAAUUAAUUUGUUGUUCAAAGAACGAACUUUGCCCCCAGACCCAGGGCAAAUAUCCGUGAAUUCUGAGUGGGUUGCAAGGCACCUAAACCAUUCGAGUAUACCGAAGAUUCGCUUGAAAUUUAGUGAAAUUUAUGUGGCAUCAUUUUACCAUGUUUAAGAACGGGGAAAAUAAUAUAAAAUUGUGUCGGAAGAAUAAUAUAUUCGGAUGGAUCCGAUGUUGGGGUUUUAAAAGGCAAACGACUUUAGUUCGCGCUUUUCUUCACAGUAGGAAUUUUGCAUCGGUAAAUUCUAAAUUUUGAAGGAUUUGUAAGAAAUGUUUGAGGAAACUGAGUUGGUGUUUCCUCAAACAUUUCUUUCAAAUCCUUCAAAACUUAGAAUUUAGGGAACGUUCAUUAUUUAUACCUGGGGUUGGUACCGAAGAGAAGCGAAAAACACUGUAAAUUUUUUAUUUACCCAACCUCAACAUUGGUCAAAAUAAUGUUUACCCAACCCAUGUGUUACUGUACUUCAUAAUAAUUAAACACACAAGAUCAUGGUGACAGAAAUCAAGUUGCCUAAAUUCUAAAAGCUCACUCACACUCACUGAGUGUGCCAAAGCAAUCACACGUUCCUGCUGAUCAAUGAUAGAGUCCUUCCGCAAUCACUGAUGGUCUAUUUUGGUACAGAAUGUAGUGUACACAUUAUUCUUCAUAUUUUCCAAUGCAUGGUUUAGUUUUAUUUUAUAGCCGACAGACAGCCAUAAUUUUUUUACCCAACCCAUGAGCUAGUCAAAAACUUGAUUACCCAACCCAUAUCUCUUCGGUACAAACCCCGAGUAUAAUAAUGAACGUCCCUUAGGCCUGUUUUAUACGUCGAAUCUCGGGCGCGUCGAAUGCAAUUCAAACAAUAGAUAAUGAAGCUUAAUGAGGUUUAUCAUCUCAUUACCUAUUGUCUUAAUUGCAUUCGACCCGACCAAAAUUCGACGUAUAAAACAGGCCUUACGUAUGCAAAAUUCCUACUGUGAUCACAGAAACUUUGAUAAUGUAUACCAGGCUUUACUUAAUACAAACUGCAGUGCUUUCAUAUUCCAUUCCAAUCUUAACGUACUUCUCUAAUUCAAUCUCCGCCGUGUUGAACACGUCAUCCGUGUAAUGCACGAUAUCAAUUGUCCCAGGUAAGUAGGAGGCGGUUACUGGAAACACAUCUAGCACUUCAAACCCAGCUUUACACAUGGCUGACAUCGCGUAAGCAUCAA
rnacentral:lncRNA from 1 species